CCUCCCACGCCACAUCUUCUCUUCUCGCUUCCCUGCUGCCAUGCGCCAACCCCGCCGUCACCCGUCGAUCCGGCUGCGGCGCUGCGCACUUCCACCCUCGUUUCCCUCCCUGGUCCAGCGACGUCACCUACUCCCUUCAACUCCCGUCUCGAUCUUCAUGGCCCUCAGAUCUAGCAGCCCUCGGCCACGACGCUGCCGGAUCUGGCCGGCUUGGCCUCGUCGCCCCAACCAAUAGGUGCUCAACGCCACUCCUCAGGAUUCAGGAACGCAGCGGUCUUCUUCGUCAGCUCUAUAUCCCUCCACCUCCUACGCCAUGUAUCGGCCAUCUACCCUUUCUUGAAGCUCCUCCUCAUCCAAGUGGCCACCUGAUGUUGCCGUGUGGCCCACGCUCACUCGCGCCUUCGCCCACCAGUACCAGGAUUUUCUCGUGUCUUUCAAGUUGAAUACCCGGGAGAUGGAGGAGAUGGUGCCAUGGCGGGCUGCUAUGGUGGUGAGGUUCACGUUCUACAGUGAGGCCAUGGCCAUCGUUGUUUGCAUGUGGCAGUUGGGCCUAUCUGAAGAGCAAUAAUGUAAUGCUUUUGAGCUUAGGCAAAUGAAGUUGUAUUUAAAAGCGGACGAGAUGAUGUUUGUCAACACGAAACUGAAAAGGUUGGUCCAUCAUCUCUUAGCCAUACAUCCCAUCUAGUUAUGCGCCAAUUUAGUUCUAGACAACAUGCGCAUGGAGAAACAUAUAUGCGAAAAUACAUGUAUCUUCAUCACUACCAUUGAGUUCUGAACUUCUGAUAAGAACACUGCCCUGUCAAUCGACUUCCUUGUUUUGCGACCUGCCCUUUUUUAUUUGAGAUCUUGUGUCUGAGGCACACUGACCACUUGGCUAGCGUACAAUGCCUUUGAAGACCAUGCUACAGGUAACUUGCUUUGGAACCUUUUUUUAGUUGAUUUCUUAGCUUACCACAUUGCCUAGGUGGUACUACUGUACUAUAUAUAUAUAUAUAAUGUAUGCACCUGCUUGUGCCCUAUUUUCCUAGAUGUGGCUCAUAACUGAGAUAUCUAUCUAGGUACUAGCUAUUUUCUUUACACUAAAUCUAUCUUAAUUAAGGUGCGAGGGGUAAAAUUUUGUUGAACUCAUAUAGGAUUUUUUUCCCUGUAUCACAUGGCCAUCUUGGUCUAACUAUAGCACAUGUGGGUUCUGGAGAUAUGAUGAAUACAGUUAAUUAGAAAACUGCCAUGUGCUCAGUGGCGGAGGCAGGAUUCGAGUAUAGGGGGGGAGUACGUAUAUUGAUCUAAUCUCGUUGGUAAUUACUCGUCGCUCCUACUAAAACUGUCGAUCAUUGGGGGGGGGGCCUGCUCGUCCCCCUGGCUCCACCCCUACAUGUGCUUGGAAUUAUACGAAUGUUUCAAGUAAUUCAAAAAGCAGGAUGUGUUCUGAACUGUUGGAAACUUAUUAUAAAAUUGAAAUCGAUGCGGUUUAUUGGUAGAUUAUUUCUUUAGUAUACAGACCAACGUGUAGUCCUCAAUCUUUAUUAUUUUGAGUAUGUGUUCCUGCUGAUUCAUGUUACCCUGAAAAUUGCAUGUGAAGGAUCAAAAGGUAAAUAUGUAGUCAUACUGCUAGAUAGCAGCUAACUAGUCAGUUAUAAGAUCUAAGUUUUGUCGCGGUAUGCUCAAUUAAAUUUCAACUACAUUACAUCAUUUUCGUCUCCUUACAA